rnacentral:misc_RNA from 1 species
GUGAAUCAUCGAAUUUUUGAACGCAAAUUGCACUCUCUGGUAUUCCGGAGAGUAUGCCUGUUUGAGGGUCAGUUUAAAUAAAAAUCGGUGUGGUUGCUGCUUUUCGUGGUGACGCACCGGAUUUGGGUCGUCUUUCUUUCGGUUAAGUGACCUAUAAUUUUGCAUGACUGUGCCUAACGGAUUCAAAUGAUUUUAUGUACUUUUCCGUUC